AUUCGUACGAUACCGUCAACACCCUACACGUAGAGUGGUUUCUUCUCGUACAAAAGAAGUUUACAACGCGUAGCGCCGUCAUCCUUCACGCGGCAUGGCUGGUUCAGGCUUUCGCCCA
rnacentral:rRNA from 1 species